AUUGAACGCUGGCGGCAGGCCUAACACAUGCAAGUCGAGCGGGGUUUUCGGACCUAGCGGCGGACGGGUGAGUAAUGCGUAGGAAGCUACCCGACAGAGGGGGAUACCAGUUGGAAACGACUGUUAAUACCGCAUAAUGUCUACGGACCAAAGUGUGGGACCUUCGGGCCACAUGCUGUCGGAUGCGCCUACGUGGGAUUAGCUAGUUGGUGAGGGAAUGGCUCACCAAGGCGACGAUCCCUAGCUGGUUUGAGAGGAUGAUCAGCCACACUGGAACUGAGACACGGUCCAGACUCCUACGGGAGGCAGCAGUGGGGAAUAUUGGACAAUGGGCGCAAGCCUGAUCCAGCCAUGCCGCGUGUGUGAAGAAGGCCUUCGGGUUGUAAAGCACUUUCAGCGAGGAGGAAGGGUUGUGUGUUAAUAGCACAUAGCUUUGACGUUACUCGCAGAAGAAGCACCGGCUAACUCUGUGCCAGCAGCCGCAGUAAUAC
rnacentral:rRNA from 1 species